UACGUAGGGUGCAAGCGUUAUUCGGAAUUAUUGGGCGUAAAGCGUGCGCAGGCGGUCUUUUAAGUCAGAUGUGAAAUCCCCGGGCUUAACCUGGGAACUGCGUUUGAAACUGGAAGGCUUGAGUGUGGCAGAGGGGGGUGGAAUUCCACGUGUAGCAGUGAAAUGCGUAGAGAUGUGGAGGAACACCGAUGGCGAAGGCAGCCCCCUGGGCUAACACUGACGCUCAGGCACGAAAGCGUGGGGAGCAAACAGG
rnacentral:rRNA from 1 species